CGACCCACCGAGUUCAGCCACAGAAACUGGCCAUGGUUUAGUGCUUCAUACUGGAAAAUCAACAUUUCUUCGAGAGUUUUUCCAACAACUUCUAUAGUUCACAGAAACUGUUGCAACACAAUUU